rnacentral:lncRNA from 1 species
UAAUACAUGUGCUAGUCUAAUAUUCAUGUGUGUCCUCACAUGAACUCACACUAGGGACAACUUUAGAAUAACCAUACAAGUAAAGAGUUUCACAUACAAUUCACAUAAUUGCAAAUCAAUUCAAGUAGCCUUCAAUGGAUAUUCAAUGAACACAAUAUACAAAUCAUGGAUACAAAUGGAAUAUCAUCAUCUCUAUGAUUGCCUUUAGGGCAUACCUCCAACAGUCUCCCA